rnacentral:tRNA from 1 species
GCCUGGGUGGCUCAGUCGGUUGAGCGUCCGACUUCGGCUCAGGUCAUGAUCUCACGGUCUGUGGGUUUGAGCCCCGCAUCGGGCU